GUUGAAAGCUGUUUGUUAAUUAUUGUUAUCAUUUUCCCUCCAUAUUAUUUUCAGAUCAAAGCCUUGGAAAGGCUUGUGGUGAAUUGCUUUACUUUAUCCACAUAGUUACUUUGAACAGAAGAGAGCCCUGCUGCAUCCACUUGAUAUGGAGAGUUGAGUUCCUUUGUAGUGAGGUGAUUCCCACAGGGAUUCAAGUCUCCAUUGACUUAAGAGGCAUGGAGAGCUCAGUCUGCAUCUCUGGAUCUCCUGUUUUCUACGAAGACACCCCAUCUUCACAUGAACACACACACACAUACCUACAUAUCAACACAUACAUAUAAAUACACACGCAUUCAUACACAGACCUACACAAAUGCUAGAAAGAAAACUUCUACCAAACAUCUACCAUUUCAAGGACUGUAAUACUAUAAUUCAAAAGAAUUUGAAUACCUUCUCUAAGUCUAACCCCUGACUAGGUUCUAUAAAGUGGAUGCCUUUAAAAUGAUUUUUGUUUAACUGGAAAGCUUAUAAUAUACUCAUACGUAUAGAGGUAUGUAAAUAUUUUCCCAUCUCUUCUUUCUGCUCCGUUCCCACCAUGCCUAGCAUUUUUUCCCCAAUAUUCUUUAAUUGAAAUAAAAAUGUGUUGUACUCUACAUUUCUAGGUCAGUGGUUGGCUCCCUCUGAAUGUCCAGAACUUAUUGAUGCCUCCUCCUCUGUGUUAAUCAACCAUAUGCUAUCCUGUUCCAGUUCUCACAUGGUUUUCCAAUGUUUGUGUGUAGAGUCUUGGGAGGUUGGGGUUUUAAUCAUGUUUCUUUCCUCUGUGCAUUCCCGCAGCCAUGCAGAUGGAAGUUUGCUUUAUAAUACACCCUGCGCUUUUGGAAAAGAAAGAUACUAAGACUUUUCCAGAUUUCGUAAUUUGCACCAAUUUAGAAAGGCAUGUCUGGAUAUAUUUCUGAAUCUUCC
rnacentral:lncRNA from 1 species